CUACGGGGCGCACCAGUGAGGAAUAUUGCACAAUGGGGGGAACCCCGAUGCAGCAACGCCGCGUGGAGGAUGACGCAUUUCGGUGUGUAAACUCCUUUUAUAUGUCAAGAAAAUGACGGUAGCAUAUGAAUAAGCACCGGCUAACUCCGUGCCAGCAGCCGCGGUAAUACGGAGGGUGCAAGCGUUACUCAGAACCACUGGGCGUAAAGGACGCGUAGGCGGGUUGGAAAGUCAGGUGUGAAAUCCUACAGCUUAACUGUAGAACUGCACUUGAAACUUCUAAUCUAGAGUAUGGGAGGGGGAGAUGGAAUUAGUGGUGUAGGGGUAAAAUCCGUAGAUAUCACUAGGAAUACCUAAAGCGAAGGCGAUCUCCUGGAACAUUACUGACGCUAAGGCGUGAAAGCGUGGGGAGCAAACAGGAUUAGAUACCCCCGUAGUC
rnacentral:rRNA from 1 species